GGAGGCGUAGCGAAGUGGUCAUAACGCGGUGGUCUUGAAAACCAUUUGACGGCAACGUCACGGGGGUUCGAAUCCCUCCGCCUCCGCCA
rnacentral:tRNA from 2 species